rnacentral:ribozyme from 12 species
GUCCAUCAAGGGUGGAAUCCGGGGGAAGGAGGAGAAAAGGGGCUUUGGGCAGUUCAUCGGCAAGGCAACCGCCGUCGUAGGCAAUGUUG